UACGUAGGAGGCAAGCGUUAUCCGGAAUGACUGGGCGUAAAGGGUGCGUAGGUGGUUUGGCAAGUUAGUAGCGUAAUUCCGGGGCUCAACUUCGGAACUACUACUAAAACUGCUGGGCUUGAGUGCAGGAGGGGCAUAUGGAAUUCCUAGUGUAGCGGUGGAAUGCGUAGAUAUUAGGAGGAACACCAGUGGCGAAGGCGAUAUGCUGGACUGUAACUGACACUGAGGCACGAAAGCGUGGGGAGCAAACAGG
rnacentral:rRNA from 1 species